AGUAGUGAGGGUGACCUGGUUGUGACAUGUUAUCCCACUGAUAUCCAGGGUUGAUGUGGCAGAUCUGGCUGGCUAGGUGGGUGUCCCCUCCCUCCUCCCUCACCACUCCAUGUGUGUCCCUCCCGAAGCCGCUGGCUCAGUUGAAGAGGAUGGCUUUUCCCGAACAUUCCUUGGUCAAGGGUACACAAGUAGCUGCGCUCCCUUGUUAGAACCUCCAAACAAGUUCUCAAAAAGUUCGAAGGGGUUGUAGAACAACUCUAGAUAGUCUUGAAGUUUAUAUAAACGAAGGUGACAAUGCUGAUGGGAACACAGGCAGAAUUC
rnacentral:snRNA from 1 species